GUUCGUAGUGACUGCGGAAGGAUCAUUAGUGAACGCCCUCACGGGCUUAACUAUCCAACCAACCUCUGUGAACCGUCGCCCUCGGGCGCUUUAUAACAAACUAUAACAGUCAUGAACGUAGUAUACAAAAACUAAACACAACUUUCAACAACGGAUCUCUUGGCUCUCGCAUCGAUGAAGAACGCAGCGAAAUGCGAUAAGUAAUGUGAAUUGCAGAAUUCAGUGAAUCAUCGAAUCUUUGAACGCACCUUGCGCCCUUUGGUAUUCCGAAGGGCAUGCCUGUUUGAGUGUCAUGUAGACUCAACCUCCCCGGUUUAUGAUCGGGACGGGUUGGAUAUGGGCGCUGCCGAUUGCCGGCUCGCCUUAAAUGUCUUAGCGGGCUCAGAAGCCCCGACCUAGCGUAAUAAGUUUCGCUGGCGAGGGUGCGGAUGACCGCUCACAACUGCCCUUGGGCACCUUUUGACUCUGGCCUCAAAUCAGGUAGGACUACCCGCUGAACUUAAGCAUAUCAAUAAGCGGAGGAAAAGAAACUAACAAGGAUUCCCCUAGUAGCGGCGAGCGAAGCGGGAAGAGCUCAAAUUUGUAAUCUGGCGUGCUCAGUGCGUCCGAGUUGUAAUCUAUAGAAACGUUUUCCGUGCCGGACCGUGUCCAAGUCCCUUGGAACAGGGUAUCAAAGAGGGUGACAAUCCCGUACUUGACACGACGACCGGUGCUCUGUGAUACGUUUUCUACGAGUCGAGUUGUUUGGGAAUGCAGCUCAAAAUGGGUGGUAAAUUCCAUCUAAAGCUAAAUAUAGGCGAGAGACCGAUAGCGAACAAGUACCGUGAGGGAAAGAUGAAAAGCACUUUGGAAAGAGAGUUAAACAGUAUGUGAAAUUGUUGAAAGGGAAACGAUUGAAGUCAGUCAUGUUCAUUGGAUUCAGCUGGUUCUGCCAGUGUAUUUCCUUUGAACGGGUCAACAUCAGUUUGAGCCGGCGGAUAAUGGCAGAGGGAAUGUGGCACCUCCCGGGUGUGUUAUAGCCCCUUGUCGCAUACGUCGGGCCCAGACUGAGGAAUGCAGCUCGCCUUUAUGGCCGGGGUUCGCCCACGUACGAGCUUAAGGAUGUUGGCAUAAUGGCCUUUAAACGACCCG
rnacentral:rRNA from 1 species